rnacentral:lncRNA from 1 species
AAGAAACGUGUGGGAAAGCAGCAAAGGAGAAAAGGAUGGAUAGAUGGAUGGCACAAAAGAGGUAAGAUUCUCUUUCAUUGACGAACACAGUAACUAAGAAGAAGAAGAAGAUGACGAAGAUGAAGAGAGAAACCAAAGCAGUCAAGAAGGAGAGGAGAAGACGCAAAAAAAACCCUUUUUUUUUCCUUCUCCCUUUUGCUAACUCGACUGUUUUCCUAUUUUCAACUGUAACAUUGGGUGCUUUUUACACAAAUGCCUCAGCUCCGGC